CAGCAGCAGUGUUGCUGACUGGGCCCAUCAUGUUGUUCCCGUGCCGAGAGGGACUCAUCAUCCCAUAUCCACUGUUACCGUAGCCAGUGUGGACUUGAAUGAUGACUCACAAUGGCUAUGGGGUUGGACUAGGCUGUGAGGUGGUGAAGGGCCACGCGAGCUGAUGUGGGCUUCCAGCUGCAGGGAAGCGCUGCAGCAAUGUCUGAGGACCUGAGCCCUAGGACCAUGCCCCAGGACUACCUGACAUGAUGACUCCUUGCUGUCCCCAGUCCACCUGGCCAUGCUGCUGCUCCAGUUUCAACUGGCCUGGGCCCUAGGACCAUGUCCCAGGACUACCUGACAUGAUGACUCCUUGCUGUCCCCAGUCCACCUGACUGUGCUGCUACUCCAGUUUCAACUGUUCUGCCUUAUUAUUAUAAUCUCCACCCGGCACAGCCAGAAGAGGACUGGCCACCCCACAUAUGCUCUCUCUAAUUCUCUCUUUCUUUCUCUCUCUCGGAGGACCUGAGCCCUAGGACCGUGCCCCAGGACUACCUGACAUGAUGACUCCUUGCUGUCCCCAGUCCACCUGACUGUGCUGCUACUCCAGUUUCAACUGUUCUGCCUUAUUAUUAUUCGACCAUGCUGGUCAUUUAUGAACAUUUGAACAUCUUGGUCAUGUUCUGUUAUAAUCUCUACCCGGCACAGCCAGAAGAGGACUGGCCACCCCACAUAGCCUGGUUCCUCUCUAGGUUUCUUCCUAGGUUUUGGCCUUUCUAGGGAGUUUUUCCUAGCCACCGUGCUUUUACACCUGCAUUGUUUGCUGUUUGGGGUUUUAGGCUGGGUUUCUGUACAGCACUUUGAGAUAUCAGCUGAUGUACGAAGGGCUAUAUAAAUACAUUUGAUUUGAUUUGAUGAGAAAUAUGUUUGGAACAUCCAAUAGCAAUACACAUAGAAUCCUGAGUCGCAAUACAUAUAGAAUCCUCAGAAUCACAAUGCAUAUAGAAUCCUCAGAAUCACAAUGCAUAUAGAAUCCUGAGAAUCGCAAUACAUAUAGAAUCCCGAGAGUCGCAAUACAUAUAGAAUCCUCAGAACCACAAUGCGUAUAGAAUCCUGAGAAUCACAAUACGUAUAGAAUCCUGAGAAUCGCAAUACAUAUAGAAUCCUCAGAACCACAAUGCGUAUAGAAUCCUGAGAAUCACAAUACGUAUAGAAUCCUGAGAAUCGCAAUACGUAUAGAAUCAUGAGAAUCGCAAUACAUAUGGAAUCCUGAGAAUCGCAAUACAUAUGGAAUCCUGAGAAUCACAAUACAUGUAGAAUCCUGAGAAUCACAAUACAUAUAGAAUCAUGAGAAUCGCAAUACAUAUAGUAUUUGCACCUAAGUAUCGUGAUAGUUUCGUAUUGUGCGGUCCCUGGCAAAUCCCAGACCUACUUACUAUCUGUUAAAAUAAUAUAUGAAUGCAUCUGCAUCAAUCAUCAUAAUAAACUGAUAAACGAAACCUGGACAUUUAAAUAUGUACCUUCCAACCAUCAUGCUCACAAUAACAUAAUUUGUCAUGUGACACAAAGGUCGCAACAUAGCCUUGGUAUACUGUCUGGAGAUCGGCUUCUCCUGGCAAGAAUAAAAUCACAAGUGAAGCGGAAAUUCAACAACUCUUGGAGGACAGUGGACGACAAAAAAAGUGCUUAUUUUGUUGUUAAAAGUAAGACAAGAUAGCAAGGUAGCACUAGUGUUCCCUUCCAUGUGCAACAAUAAAAUCAUAUGCAUAAAUCAA